AUGUUUGUCGUCAGUUCCUGUAGAGAGAUGUUGGGUUAAGUCCCGCAACGAGCGCAAGCCUUGAUCUUUCUUGCCAUCAUUCAGUUGGGCACUGUAAGGUGACUGCCGGUGACAAACCGGAGGAAGGUGGGGAUGAUGUCAAAUCAUCAUGCCCCUUAUGACCUGGGCUACACACGUGUUACAAUGGAUGGUACAAAGGGCUGCAAACCUGCGAAGGUAAGCGAAUCCCAUAAAGCCAUUCUCAGUUCGGAUUGCAGGCUGCAACUCGCCUGCAUGAAGCCGGAAUCGCUAGUAAUCGCGGAUCAGCAUGCCGCGGUGAAUACGUUCCCGGGCCUUGUACACACCGCCCGUCACACCACGAGAGUUUGUAACACCCGAAGUCGGUGAGGUAACCUUUCAUGGAGCCAGCCGCCUUAAGGU
rnacentral:rRNA from 1 species